CUUGCACUUUGGCAGACUGAGUGGCGGACGGGUGAGUAACGCGUGGGUAACCUGCCUUAUACAGGGGGACAACAGUUGGAAACGACUGCUAAUACCGCAUGAUGUUUCGAGAGGACAUCCUCUUGAAACCAAAGGAGCAAUCCGCUGUAAGAUGGCCUCGCGUCUGAUUAGAUAGUUGGUGGGGUAACGGCCUACCAAGUCGACGAUCAGUAGCCGGACUGAGAGGUUGAUCGGCCACAUUGGGACUGAGACACGGCCCAGACUCC
rnacentral:rRNA from 1 species